UCGAGGGGUAUGGCAGCAAUGCCGGAGACCGGCAAACGGGUGCGGAACACGUACAGAACCUUCCCCAGAGCGGGGGAUAGCCCCUGGAAACGGGGAUUAAUACCCCAUGGCAUAUCUUUGUGGCAUCACAUGGAUAUUAAAGGUUUACCACUCUGGGAUGGCUGUGCGGCCGAUUAGGUAGUUGGCAGGGUAACGGCCUACCAAGCCUUCGAUCGGUAACUGGUGUGAGAGCACGACCAGUCACACGGGCACUGAGACACGGGCCCGACUCCUACGGGAGGCAGCAGUAAGGAAUAUUGGUCAAUGGGCGGAAGCCUGAACCAGCCAUGCCGCGUGGAGGAUGACUGCCCUCNNGGUUGUAAACUNCUNNNNCGGG
rnacentral:rRNA from 1 species